rnacentral:rRNA from 1 species
UACGUAGGGGGCAAGCGUUGUCCGGAUUUAUUGGGCGUAAAGAGCGUGUAGGCGGCCAUUCAGGUCAGCUGUGAAAACUCGAGGCUCAACCUCGAGACGUCGGUUGAAACCGUUUGGCUAGAGUCCGGAAGAGGAGAGUGGAAUUCCCGGUGUAGCGGUGAAAUGCGCAGAUAUCGGGAAGAACACCCGUGGCGAAGGCGGCCAGCUAGACCAGUUCUGACACUGAGGCGCGACAGCGUGGGGAGCAAACAGG